AUGAUUUAUAUUUCCCCACAGGGUCACGACAUACCGUCUUGAUCAGGUUUUCGGGUGGGAAAGACUUCGCUAUUGCUGCACAUGCCAACAUGAUCAGAGGUCUAAAAUACACGAUGACAAUGCUCAUGGGUUGCAAAAUGACUCCAAAUUGACAAAUGCUGUUGGCUCUUGAAAAAGUUGUGGUGUUCCUAGGGCUGAACACAACAGGCAUCAUCCACCCUAGAUGUGAUGAUUCCUGUGCAUUGUG
rnacentral:lncRNA from 1 species